UACGUAGGAUGCAAGCGUUGUUCGGAAUUACUGGGCGUAAAGAGUACGUAGGCGGUUUGAUAAGUCUGCUAUUAAAGACCGGAGCUUAACUCCGGGACUGUAUUGGAAACUGUCAGACUAGAGGACAAUAGAGGAAGUCGGAAUUCUCAGUGUAGCGGUGAAAUGCGUAGAUAUUGGGAAGAACACCGGUGGCGAAGGCGGCGACCUGGUCCGUGACUGACGCUGAGGCGCGAAAGCGUGGGGAGCAAACGGG
rnacentral:rRNA from 1 species